AAGUCGUAACAAGGUUUCCGUAGGUGAACCUGCGGAAGGAUCAUUAAUGAGUUAGGGUCUCCGGGCCCGACCUCCAACCCUUUGUCGUUACAAAAACCACCGUUGCUUUGGCGGGACCGCCGGCCCUCCGGGGCAGGCUGCCGGUCUCCAGGGACCGUCAAGCUUCCGCCAGAGUCAAACCAAACUCUUGUUUAUACAAACCGUACGUCUGAGUAAAAUGAUUAAAUCAAUCAAAA
rnacentral:misc_RNA from 1 species